AAACCACAUCGGAUCAUUAUUCUGAGUUACAGUCAUGGAUCGCAAACUUCUUACCUGUCUACUUCUUUUGGCUCUUUUGCAAGUCGCCGCUGCUCGCACGUGCGGUACCUACGAUAUCGCUUUUGCCCGUACUGACGGCGAAGAACUACUUCCUUUGGAGGAAGACGAAUUGUGCGAUGGCUUUGCUGAAAUGGCUGACAUGGGGGGAAUGAAACCAUGGAGAAAAUAUUAACACGCUCUAUAGUUUUCGAAUAAGUUUGCCAAUAACGUACGAAGCAAACAAAAUAAAAAUUUCAUGAUGAAAA